rnacentral:lncRNA from 1 species
CAACAGCAAGGGGACCAGGAAAGGGACUUAGAGAAGGGCACAGGCCAGGGGAGUGCACGAAAUGCCCAGCUGGGAAGGCAGGGUUACACAGAGUACUGCAGUACAAGGAAGCCAUGGGGAGCAGGGAAGCGGCCCCAGCGAGGGGACAUCAGACAAUGCCUAGAAAAGCAGUGAGCCAGAAGGGCCACCAGAGGCUCAAGUGAGGACCCAGGCCAGGGAACUGAGAGCCAAGGGCCAGGGCUUGGGCAGGGGGCUCAGGACAGUGGACAAAAUUUGGGAGGGAAAGUGGGGAAUCCAGAAAGGGACAGUCAGGCUCCAGGCCCAGGGCCACCUCCAGGUUUCAGGGUUCUUGGUGAAGGUCCAAGCACCCAGGGAGAGCAAGGGGCCCAAGCGAGGAUAGGCUAUUGUUUCCCAUAAGGUGCCCUGGAUCAGAGGAGAAUCCAGGGCCAGAGUCUGGCAAAGGAGGCCAGGAACUGGAAGGGGGCCAGAAGGAGGGUGACAGGAAGGCACGGCAAUGGUUUUGGGUGGGUGUACAUAGGGGUGAGAGCCAGAACCCAAUCCAGAUGCCCAGGCAAGUGACCCACCAGAUCCAUGGUGAUCGGGGACUCAAGAGAAGGAGACCCGCGAGCACCAGAAAAAGUGUGAGGAGAAGGGGAGGAAGGAGCUGUGUGAGUACCAGGAGAAGCCAAGGGGUUCCUAGGGAAGCCUGCUCAUGGGCCCAAGCAACGGGCCCCCAGGUGAGACUCAACAUGAAGAGUCUCCUUGCUAUGCCAAGGUCCACAAGGAACGUGGUCAGGGGCUCAGGCGAGUGCCCAGGCCCAAAGACUGGAGCACAAAGGGUCAGGGUUAGGGAAGGCUGGGUUGCUGUAAGGGCAGCAUUCAAGGCCAGAGGGCAGGGGAGGGAAGGAAGAGGAUUGCUCAGGACUGGGUUGGAGCAAGUACCAUGAUAACUGCAAGGCCUCAAGUUUCAGGCAGUGAAGGGGACUCAGGCAAGUGGCAGGACUGUGUUUCCCAUAGAGAACAUUCAGCCAAAUCCGCUCCUCUACCCCAGCUGAGUAGAUCCUUAGAGAGUGUCCUGGACCAAUGAAGUGCCAAAGAGGGUACUGUGAGGGGAUAACUGGCAUGCAGAGGUUGGGGCGGUCAGUGGGCUGCAGGGCCCAUUUGAGGAGCCUAGGCUAGAGUGAAACAGGCUUAGCAGAGAGUCCGGGCAGUGCCAGGAUACCACAGCAUAAUGGGAUCAGAGGAGAGGUGGGGGGUGCUGACAAAAGGGGACUGAAACCAAGGGACAGGAACUGGGUCCUCGAGAAGGGCAGCCAGGGGCUCAAAAAAGGAGCCAGUCCCAAUAAUGGAGAGCCAAGUGCUAGCACCUUGGCCUGGGUGAAUGAAAAGGGACAUAGUUGCCUAUUGGAGCUCUUAUAACUCUGCAGCCAGGGUAGAGUGCACAGGGUCCUCUAUGCGAGAGACCCCUCCCUCCCACCUUGGUGUCCAGGUUACCUUGUAUUCUGCCUCAGCCCAUGUAGAGGGGAGUCACCACUACAGUCAUGAGAUCCCUUCAACCUGGGUGCCCAGUAAGGGGUGGGGCUUGUGUACAACUUCAGCCAGAAUAUCAGCAACUUGCCCCUCCAGGCAGGAUACCCCUUUCACCUGGGUGUCAGGGGGAGCUCAUAUCUAGGUGCAGCCAGAGUAGCCGGGAAUUGCCCCUCCAUGCAAGAGACCCCUUAUACAUGGGUUUGUACGGGGAUCUCCUAUAGAGCUGCAGCCAGGGUAACAGGAACUUGCCCCUCCAGGCAUGAGACCCAUUUCACCUGGGUGUCUGGGAGAGCUCAUGUACCUCCACAGGGAAGGUAGAGGGGACUCAACUCUCCAGGCAGGAGACAUCUUCCAGCUGGGUGUCGGGGAGUUAGCAUCCCAACCAGGGUAGAGGGGACUCGCACCUCCAGGCGGGAGAACCCUCCCACCUGAGUGUUGCGGGGAUCUUGUAUACCACUGCAGCCAGGUGAGAUGGGACUCCCCUGUCCAGGCAAAGACCCCUCCAAUCUGGGUGUUGAGGGGAACUCAUAUACCACCGCAGCCAAGAUAGAGGGCAUUCACCCUGCAAGGAUGGAGACCCCUCUGACCUGGGUAUGGGGGAGGGCUUUUAUACCUCCAAGUCAGGGUAGCAGGGACUUGCCCCCCUAGGCUAGAGACCCCUCCCACCUGGGUGUCAGGGGAGCUUCUAUACCACUGCAGCCAGGUUAGAGGGGACCAAACCUCCAGUCGGGAAACUCCUCCUACCUGGGAGACUAGGGGAGCUCCUAGGGUAGAGGGGACUUGCUCAUCCAGUUGGGAGACCCCUCCCACGUGGGUGUCCUAGGAGCUCUUAUAUGGCACCACCCAAAAUAGAGGGGACUCCCCCAUCCAGGUGGGAGACCCGUCCCACCUGGGUGCUGGGUCUUGUAUAAUUUGUAUACCACCAAAGCCAGGGUAGAGGGGACUCGGCCCUACAACUGGGUGUCUGGGGAAGCUUGUAUACCUGCACAGCUAGGGUAGAGGGGAUUCCCUGCUCUAGGCAGGAGACCCUUCUUACCAGGCCCUCAGGGGGAACAAUUAUCCUGCCACAGCACAGGUAGAGGGAAUUCACCCUUCCAGGCAGGUACCCCUCCCACCUGGAUCAGGGGAAGCUCUUAUACUGCAACAGCCAGAAAAGAGGGAAGGCGCUCCUCCAGGGAGGAGACCGCUUCCACCUGGGUGUCCAGGGCAGCUCCUAUACUGCCACAGGAAGGGUAGGGGAAACUCACCACUCUAGGCGGGAGACCCCUUCCACCUGGGUGUCAGGGGGAGCUAGUAUACUGCGCCAGCCAGGAUAGAAGGGACUCGCUCCUCCAGGCAGGAGACCCCGCCCACCUGGGUGUGGGUGGAGGAGCUCAUAUACCACUGUAGCCAGGGUAGUGGGGACUUGCCCCUCCAGGGAGGAGACCCCUCCCACCUGGGUGUAGCUGGGAGCUUGUAUAACACCUUAGCCAGAGUAGAGGGGACUCGCCAUCCAGGGGAGAGACUCCUCCCACCAGGGUAUCAGGGGAGCUCAUAUACUACAUCAGUGUAGAGGCUUUUUGCCCUCCAGGAAGGAGACUCCUCCCACCAGGGUGAAGGGAAUUCAUAUACUGCAGCUGCCAGGGUAGAGGGGACUCACCCCUCUAUAUUGGAUACCCUUCCCAUGUGGGUAUGGUGGGGGGUGCUCAUAUACCACCAUAUCCAGGGUAGAGGGGACUCACCCCUCCCUUCCGGAGACCCCUCCCACCUGGGUGUCAGGGGAAACUCACAUACUGCUGCAGCCAGGGUAGAGUGGACAUGCUCCUCCAGGUGAGACACCCUUCCCAUCUUGGUGCCAGGAUGAGAUUGAAUUCCCUCUUGCCAGGGUAGAGGGGACUUGCUCCUCCAGGCAGAAGACCCCACCCACUUGUGUGUCAGGUGGAGCUCAUAUAGCCCAGCAGCCAUGAUACAGGAAACUCACACCUCCAGGUGAGAAACACCUCCCACCUGGGAAUGGGAGUAAAUCCUAUAUCCCUUAGCCCAGGUAGAGGGGACCUGCCCCUCCAGGCGGAAUUCCCUCUCACCUGGGUAUCAGUUGGGUCGCAUACACACCAGCAGCCAGGGUAGAGGCGACUAGCACCUCCAGGAGAGAGAUACCUCCCACCUGGGAAUGGGGUUAACUCCUAAACUGCCUUAGCAAGAGUAGAGAAGACUCGCCCCUCCAGGCAAAAGUCCCCUCCCACAUGGGUGUCUGGCAUCAGGGGAUCAUAUACUUCUGCAACCUGGGUAGCAGUGAUUCCCCAUCCAGGCGGGAGACCCCUCCUACUGGGGUUAGGAGGGGGCUCUAAUACCCCCGAAGCCAGGGUUGAGGGGACUCGCCCCUUUAGGCGAGAAACCCUCCACCCUUGGUGGGGUGGAGGGCCUAUACCACUGCUGCCAGAGUAGUGGGGACUCGCCCCUCCAGGCAGGAGACACCAACAGGGUUUUGCAGGGAACUUGUAGACCACCUUAGACAGGGUAGAGGAGGUUUGCCCAUCCAGGCAGAAGAACCCUCCAGCCUGGCUGAUAUGGAGCUCAUAUACCACCCCAGCCAUGGUAGCAAGUACUUGCCUCUCCUAGCGGGAGACCCCCCCCCCAGUGUCUGGGGCAGCUUGUAUACCUCCACAACCAGGGUAGAGGGUACUUGCUGCUCAAGUCGGGAGACCAUUUCCACAUUUGUGUCAGGGGGAUAUCCUAUACCAUCACAACAAGGGUAGAGGGGACUUGCUCAUCCAGGUGGGAGACACCCCCACCUGUGUGUGUGUGUGUGUGUGUGUGUGUGUGUGUGUGUGUGUGUGAAAUCCUAUACCUCCAUAGCGAGGGUAGAGGUGACUCUCCUCUCCAGGCGGGAAACCUCUCAACUGGGUUUCAGGGGGACCUAUUAUACCACUGUAGCCAAGGUUAAGGAGACUCACCCCUCCAGGAGGGAGACCCCUUCCACCUGGGUGUUCUGGGGAGCUCCUAUACCGCUCAAGCCAGGGUAGAGGGGACUCGCUCCUCUAGGUGGAGAAAUCUGCCACCUAGUUGUCAGGGAAAGUUCCUCUACUGCUGCAGCCAGUUAGAGCAGACUUGCCCUUCCAGUCAGGAGACCCCUCCCACCUGGGUGUCUGGUUGAGAUCCCAUACCUCCACAGCCAAAAAAGAGGGGACUCUCCCCUCCUAUAGUGGGACCCCUCCCACCUGGGUGUCUGGGGGAGCUUGAUUACUGUAGCAGCCAGGGUAGAGGGGACUUGCCCCUGCAGGUAGGAGACACUUUUUACCUGGGUGUCGGGGGAGCUCCAGUGGGAGGCCAUCCUCGCACGUGAUUUGAGAUACCUCCCUGGCUGUGUGAGAGGUGCUUAGACACAACUGUGUUAGAGCUAUUCCCCAC